AUGAACCAGGAGAGCCAGACGGUGCUGUGGGAAUGGGCAACCCCAGCCCUGGGAGCUCCAGUGGGGGGUGACGUUCUCUGCCUGGAGCACACGUGUGUGAUCAGGGGAGCCUUACAGAGGAGAGGACGUGCAGCUGGCCCUGCGGUCUGAGGAGUUGCCAGGCCAGUUGCCGCGCUGUGAAUUCCUGUUGCAUCAGCAGCGAGGCUAAUUAGCUCCGCGGCUCCUGAAUAAUAAUGGCUGCAUUCACAGAGAGGCGUCUGCAUGCAGGAGCCAUGCACACAUGCAAACCUUGAAGCUGCGCAAGAUGCACAGCCAGCGGCACAGGAUCCCCCAGCGUGGCCAUUUAUAUGAGCUGAAGGUGCUGGUGCAUCAGUGGUGGGCGGCGAGGGGUCUGGGCUACCUGCUGGUGCAGCUUGCUGGUUAACUCGAGUCCUGCUCACGCUCAGUCCAGGAUGUAUCCACUUUCUGACUUGGUGGGUCUGACAGAUCCAGCUCAUGAUGGGCAGUUCUGGGUGCAUGACCCCU
rnacentral:lncRNA from 1 species